CCUACGGGGGGCAGCAGUGAGGAAUAUUGGUCAAUGGGCGUAAGCCUGAACCAGCCAAGUCGCGUGAGGGAUGAAGGUUCUAUGGAUCGUAAACCUCUUUUAUAAGGGAAUAAAGUGUGGGACGUGUCCUGUUUUGUAUGUACCUUAUGAAUAAGGAUCGGCUAACUCCGUGCCAGCAGCCGCGGUAAUACGGCGGAUCCGAGCGUUAUCCGGAUUUAUUGGGUUUAAAGGGUGCGUAGGCGGCCUGUUAAGUCAGCGGUGAAAGUCCGUGGCUCAACCAUAGAAUUGCCGUUGAUACUGGGAGGCUUGAGUAUGUUUGAGGCAGGUGGAAUGCGUGGUGUAGCGGUGAAAUGCUUAGAGAUCACGCAGAACCCCGAGUGCGAAGGCAGCCUGCCAAGCCAUGACUGACGCUGAUGCACGAAAGCGUGGGGAUCAAACAGGAUUAGAUACCCUAGUAGUC
rnacentral:rRNA from 1 species